CUAAUCAUAAAUUCCCAAUUUGCUCCAAGUGGUAGGCAGUAAAUUCUCAGUUUAUGCCUUUUUGUUGUCUGUAUUUUUAUGGGAGUGCUAAUUCUUCUGUUCAUCUUUUAAUUCUGUAUAGCAGGUAAGCUCCACACUUGAGCGCGAGUUGUUGUUGGCAGGAUUCUUGGACUCACAGUUGUCUGAAGCUGGACACUCUUUUGUGGUUAGUAAUUUCACCCAUGAGUCUGGUAUCCUACUUUUUUCUUUUCCUCCACAUCAGCCCCCUGCGUCUUCUUAAAUGAAAAUCCUCUCCUUUUGUUGAGAUUUGAGUAAGUGAACCUUUUUUUUUGCAUUUUAGUGCUUUUAACUGAAUAGAGAACCUUUGCUUCUCUUUGAUCUUUCUUAGACUGUUAUAUGCCUUAUGUCAGGAAUAUAAGUUUGCAUUGUAUUAUCAUUGUUAGAUAUGUAUUAUAGUAGAACUCUAGUCCAAAGUGUAUUAGGAGUAGGUUAGGUUAUGUGUAUUAUAU
rnacentral:lncRNA from 1 species